AUGGCGAGAUGGAAACGGCAGGGGUUUUGUAAACAAAACGAAAAAUACAAGAAGGUAACAGAAACACUGAAAUGUAGAUGGAAACGUCUCCAAGAGCCAGAGGACCAUUCCUAUUCCAGGACAGACCGGUCUCAAACUUCUUACGAAGACACAAACGAACCUAACGUUGAUUCUGUAAAUCAUCAGAUUGAGGUGCCCAGACCAGCAGGGUGUAAUGUCAUAAUUAAUGCAGAAAAUUCAGGAUGUCGGAAUUUAUGGUGUGGUCAUGUGAAUGUCAUUCCAACGGGAAAACGCCAUGGUCGCAUUUGGGAUGCUAACACCAAGUUAGCCACAGGAAUGAUUCAUACUGGAAUUGGCCCAGCCCAGAUUAAUGGCCUCUUAACAACAUUGAACAUCCCUGCCAUAAGUUCAAAGACCAUUCAGAAAAGACAGAUGGAGACAGGGUCAGCCAUCGAAAAAGUUGCAGAAGACACUAUUCAAAAUGUUUUACAAGAUGAAAUCCAUGCAACAGCUGAAAAUGAAGGAGCAGAAGAAUUAACUGUGAGUGUAGAUGCUGGGUGGCAGAAGAGAGGCAGUGGGCGCUCAUUUGAUAGUCUCUCAGGACAUUGUUCGAUGAUUGGUGCACAAACUGGGAAAGUUCUUGGCUAUGAGAUUCGCAGUAAGGUUAACAAAAAAAAUGGAUUAUCUCCUGGAAAGUUCACAAAAAGGCUAUGCUCCAUCAGAGAGUCACAAUCUAGGAAGAGGAAGGCCAUUGCCAAAUCCAAGGAAGCAAAGCGAAGACGUCUUGAGCUAAAGGCUAGGAGAUCCCAGAGCACUGCAAGCAAAGAAAUUCAGGAGGGCUCUACUCUACUUAUAAGCCUGGCAUAG
rnacentral:sRNA from 1 species